rnacentral:tRNA from 1 species
GAGAUGUGGCUCAGUGGCUGAGCGCUUGUAUAGCAUGUGCAAAGCCCUGGGUUCAAUCCCCUGCAUCUGCA